GACGAACGCUGGCGGCGUGCUUAACACAUGCAAGUCGAACGGAAAGGCCCUGCUUUUGUUUGUUGCUCGAUUGGCGAACGGGUGAGUAACACGUGAGUAACCUGCCCUUGACUUUCGGGUAACUUCAGGAAACUGGGGCUAAUACCGGGUAGGAUCUCUUGCUGCGUGGUGUGGGUUGGAAAGUUUCGGCGGUUGUGGAUCGACUCGCUGCUUAUCAGCUUGUUUGUGUGGUAGUGGCGUACCAAGGCUUUGACGGGUAGCCGGCCUGAGAGGGUGACCGGCGACAUGGGGCCUGAGAGAGGGACCAGAAUCCUACGGGAGGCAGCAGUGGAGAGUAUUGCACAAUGGGCGGACGCCUGAUGCAGCAGCGCCGCGUGCGGGAUGCUCGGCUACGGGUUAUAAACAGAUUUCGAAUGUGAUGAAGCGUGCGUGACGGUAAUGGGUCAAGAAGCACCGGCUAACUACGUG
rnacentral:rRNA from 1 species